rnacentral:rRNA from 1 species
CCUACGGGGGGCAGCAGUGGGGAAUAUUGCGCAAUGGGCGAAAGCCUGACGCAGCGACGCCGCGUGAGGGAUGAAGGUCUUCGGAUCGUAAACCUCUGUCAGCAGGGAAGAACGGUCACUGUGCUAAUCAGCAGUGAAUUGACGGUACCUGCAAAGGAAGCACCGGCUAACUCCGUGCCAGCAGCCGCGGUAAUACGGAGGGUGCGAGCGUUAAUCGGAAUGACUGGGCGGAACGCGCUCGUAGGCGGUAUGGCAAGUCAAGGGUGAAAUCCCCGAGCUCAACGUGGGAACUGCCUUUGAAACGGGCAAACUGGAGUGUGUGAGAGGAUAGUGGAAUUCCAGGUGUAGGGGUGAAAUCCGUAGAUAUCGGGAGGAACAUCAGUGGCGAAGGCGACUAUCUGGCACAUAACUGACGCUGAGGAGCGAAAGCGUGGGUAGCAAACAGGAUUAGAUACCCCAGUAGUC